AUGCGAUAAGUAAUGUGAAUUGCAGAAUUCAGUGAAUCAUCGAAUCUUUGAACGCACCUUGCGCUCCUUGGUAUUCCGAGGAGCAUGCCUGUUUGAGUGUCAUUAAAUUCUCAACCUCACCAGUUUUCUGAACUGUGUCGAGGCUUGGAUGUGGGGGUUUGUGCAGGCUGCCUCAGCGCGGUCUGCUCCCCUGAAAUGCAUUAGCGAGUUCAUACUGAGCUCCGUCUAUUGGUGUGAUAAUUAUCUACGCCGUUGGUCGGGUUUAGACUUGCUUCUAACCGUCCGCAAGGACAACUCUUUGACAAUUUGACCUCAAAUCAGGUAGGACUACCCGCUGAACUUAA
rnacentral:misc_RNA from 1 species